rnacentral:rRNA from 1 species
UCGAGGAUCUUCGGCAAUGAGCGCAAGCUUGACCGAGCGACGCCGCGUGGACGAUGAAGGCCUUCGGGUUGUAAAGUCCUGUCGAGGGGGAUCAAGGGAAACUUGAGUGAUCCCUGGAGGAAGCACGGGCUAAGUUCGUGCCAGCAGCCGCGGUAAGACGAACCGUGCGAACGUUGUUCGGAAUCACUGGGCUUAAAGGGCGCGUAGGCGGCGAUUCAAGUCAGGGGUGAAAUCCGGCAGCUCAACUGUCGAAGUGCCUUUGAUACUGAGUCGCUAGAGGGAGGUAGGGGUAUGCGGAACUUCCGGUGGAGCGGUGAAAUGCGUUGAUAUCGGAAGGAACGCCGGUGGCGAAAGCGGCGUACUGGACCUCUUCUGACGCUGAGGCGCGAAAGCUAGGGGAGCAAACGGG